AGAAGCUAAACAGAUAGUUUCUGUUUCGAAUGAUCUCCUUGUUUCAAACAGACCAUCGUACGCCAGCAAAGUUGUCCGCUCAUUUAGUCACGAGAAUACACAAACUCGCAUGACUUGGCCAAUUGAUGCGGACAAUUUCACAAUGCUGCCUGUUGAAACAGAACCAACCGAUAAAAUAUUAAUUCCAAGAAAACCAAAAUCUUCCAAAACCAGUACUCAGUCAACUCAAUCUUCCCUAAAGAGCUCAAUAUCAUUAAAAAAAAAAUGAAAUCAGAAUAAAAAAGAAACAGACCAUACGCCAGCAAAAUACACAGUUGGGGCGGUGAAUCUGUCUGGGAUCUUCCCAGUGACAUAGAUGAUUCUUCCACCUCAAAAAGUCUUCCUUCAUCUGCAUCUAAGAAGUUAUCUUCUUCGUCCAGUACAAAGUCUACUAGAGCCCCAUCUCCUCUUCGUUCUCCAGAAAAGAAGGAUGUCCAAAAGAAGCCAGUAAAUACAUCCUCUCAGAAGUCUUCUGAUUCGAGGUCGCGGGGUAGGGGUCGAGGCGGAGUAAAACCAGCUGCGUGUGGUCCUGGAGAUCGACGACUCUCCUCGCACAACAGAUUUUCAACACUUGUCGAUCGAAACUGAAAUGGAAAUCCGAAAGUGUUCCGCCACCCGAAAGAUCACGAUCUCAGGGUGAGCGAAAUAAGAAUGCUGGCAAACUCGACAGCAUUCGCCCUUCUUUUAUUAAAUAAUGACAAA
rnacentral:lncRNA from 1 species